rnacentral:rRNA from 1 species
AUGGAGCGGAGGCAGCCGCAGACCGCGCUGGCGCCGCGGCGGAAGGGCGCGCCGGCGGCGAGCCAGGAGUGGCUGGUGGUGCCGGCGGCGGGGGAGGAGAGCACGGGGGAGUUCGGGAGGCACCGGAUCAUGGAGAUAACGGGGCUCCCCGCGCGGGACCUCCGCAUGCUCGACCCGCAGAUCUCCUACCCGUCCACCAUCCUCGGCCGCGACCGCGCCAUCGUCGUCAACCUGGAGCACGUCAAGGCCAUCGUCACCGCCGCCGAGGUGCUCGUCCGCGACCCCGGCAACCCGCGCCUCCGCCCCUUCCUCCAAGAACUCCACGCCCGCCUCGCGCUCCCGGAUGCGUCUACCACUAAUCCGGCAACCGACGACAUAGACCUGGGUGGUGAUCAGGGGAACGUGCCAAUGCCUGGCAGCGCUAAGAUCCAGCCCUUCGAGUUCAAGGUGCUAGAGGUCUGCCUCGAACACACAUGCAAAUGCAUGGAAUCCGAGACGUUGGCCCUCGAGAAGGAGGCGUAUCCGGCCUUGGACAAGCUGACCUCCAAGGUUAGCACGCUCAACCUGGAGCACGUCAGGCAGAUCAAGAGCCGCCUGGUAGAGCUAACAGGCCGCGUGCAGAAGGUGAGGGAUGAUAUCGAGCAGUUGGUUGACGAUGACACGGAUAUGUCCGAGAUGUACCUGACGAGGAAGCUUGCGUUUCAAGGAGUCAAUGAGUCAUCGGUUAAAGUGGACUCCAACAAACAUGCAUCUCCUGACCAUGAGGAUGAGAAGGAGGAAGAAGACAGUGGCGAUGGCAUAGAGAGCUCCCACGGAAGUUCCGCUUUUGUUAAGCCUGAUGUAGAAGAGUUGGAAAUGCUUCUCGAAGCUUACUUCGUGCAGUUUGAUGGCACGCUGAACAAAUUAUGCCAUCUCCGCGACUAUGUGGACGACACUGAGGAUUACAUCAACAUGAUGCUGGACGAGAAGCAGAACCAGCUGCUGCAGAUGGGCGUGAUGCUCACGACGGCGACCGUGGUGAUCACCGCUGGCAUCGUGGUCGUGAGCCUGUUCGGCAUGAACAUCCACAUCGAGCUGACGUUAGAUCCGGAGACCCCCGAGAUGGCAAGGAUCAAAAACAGAAAGUUCUGGGAGACCACCUGGGCCACCGUUGCCGGCUGCGCCGCCAUAUACCUCCUGGCAAUCUAUGCAGGGAAGAAGAGCAAAUACUUGCAGUGA